GCACUAUCGUUAACUGAAUACAUAGGUUAACGAGGCGAACCGGGGGAACUGAAACAUCUAAGUACCCCGAGGAAAAGAAAUCAACCGAGAUUCCCCCAGUAGCGGCGAGCGAACGGGGAGCAGCCCAGAGUCUGAAUCAGCUUGUGUGUUAGUGGAACGGUCUGGAAAGUCCGACGGUACAGGGUGAUAGUCCCGUACACCAAAAUGCACAGGUUGUGAACUCGAAGAGUAGGGCGGGACACGUGGUAUCCUGUCUGAAUAUGGGGGGACCAUCCUCCAAGGCUAAAUACUCCUGACUGACCGAUAGUGAACCAGUACCGUGAGGGAAAGGCGAAAAGAACCCCGGCGAGGGGAGUGAAAAAGAACCUGAAACCGUGUACGUACAAGCAGUGGGAGCACCUUCGGGUGUGACUGCGUACCUUUUGUAUAAUGGGUCAGCGACUUAUAUUCUGUAGCAAGGUUAACCGUAUAGGGGAGCCGCAGGGAAACCGAGUCUUAACUGGGCGUUAAGUUGCAGGGUAUAGACCCGAAACCCGGUGAUCUAGCCAUGGGCAGGUUGAAGGUUGGGUAACACUAACUGGAGGACCGAACCGACUAAUGUUGAAAAAUUAGCGGAUGACUUGUGGCUGGGGGUGAAAGGCCAAUCAAACCGGGAGAUAGCUGGUUCUCCCCGAAAGCUAUUUAGGUAGCGCCUCGUGAACUCAUCUUCGGGGGUAGAGCACUGUUUCGGCUAGGGGGUCAUCCCGACUUACCAACCCGAUGCAAACUACGAAUACCGAAGAAUGUUAUCACGGGAGACACACGGCGGGUGCUAACGUCCGUCGUGAAGAGGGAAACAACCCAGACCGCCAGCUAAGGUCCCAAAGUCAUGGUUAAGUGGGAAACGAUGUGGGAAGGCACAGACAGCCAGGAUGUUGGCUUAGAAGCAGCCAUCAUUUAAAGAAAGCGUAAUAGCUCACUGGUCGAGUCGGCCUGCGCGGAAGAUGUAACGGGGCUAAACCAUGCACCGAAGCUGCGGCAGCGACACUAUGUGUUGUUGGGUAGGGGAGCGUUCUGUAAGCCUGCGAAGGUGACCUGUGAGGGUUGCUGGAGGUAUCAGAAGUGCGAAUGCUGACAUAAGUAACGAUAAAGCGGGUGAAAAGCCCGCUCGCCGGAAGACCAAGGGUUCCUGUCCAACGUUAAUCGGGGCAGGGUGAGUCGACCCCUAAGGCGAGGCCGAAAGGCGUAGUCGAUGGGAAACAGGUUAAUAUUCCUGUACUUGGUGUUACUGCGAAGGGGGGACGGAGAAGGCUAUGUUAGCCGGGCGACGGUUGUCCCGGUUUAAGCAUGUAGGCUGGUUGUCCAGGCAAAUCCGGAUAAUCAAGGCUGAGGUGUGAUGACGAGGCACUACGGUGCUGAAGUAACAAAUGCCCUGCUUCCAGGAAAAGCCUCUAAGCAUCAGGUAACAUCAAAUCGUACCCCAAACCGACACAGGUGGUCAGGUAGAGAAUACCAAGGCGCUUGAGAGAACUCGGGUGAAGGAACUAGGCAAAAUGGUGCCGUAACUUCGGGAGAAGGCACGCUGGUGUGUAGGUGAAGUCCCUGCGGAUGGAGCUGAGACCAGUCGAAGAUACCAGCUGGCUGCAACUGUUUAUUAAAAACACAGCACUGUGCAAACACGAAAGUGGACGUAUACGGUGUGACGCCUGCCCGGUGCCGGAAGGUUAAUUGAUGGGGUUAUCCGUAAGGAGAAGCUCUUGAUCGAAGCCCCGGUAAACGGCGGCCGUAACUAUAACGGUCCUAAGGUAGCGAAAUUCCUUGUCGGGUAAGUUCCGACCUGCACGAAUGGCGUAAUGAUGGCCAGGCUGUCUCCACCCGAGACUCAGUGAAAUUGAACUCGCUGUGAAGAUGCAGUGUACCCGCGGCAAGACGGAAAGACCCCGUGAACCUUUACUAUAGCUUGACACUGAACAUUGAGCCUUGAUGUGUAGGAUAGGUGGGAGGCUUUGAAGCGUGGACGCCAGUCUGCGUGGAGCCAACCUUGAAAUACCACCCUUUAAUGUUUGAUGUUCUAACGUUGGCCCCUUACCGGGGUUGCGGACAGUGUCUGGUGGGUAGUUUGACUGGGGCGGUCUCCUCCCAAAGCGUAACGGAGGAGCACGAAGGUUAGCUAAUCCUGGUCGGACAUCAGGAGGUUAGUGCAAUGGCAUAAGCUAGCUUGACUGCGAGCGUGACGGCGCGAGCAGGUGCGAAAGCAGGUCAUAGUGAUCCGGUGGUUCUGAAUGGAAGGGCCAUCGCUCAACGGAUAAAAGGUACUCCGGGGAUAACAGGCUGAUACCGCCCAAGAGUUCAUAUCGACGGCGGUGUUUGGCACCUCGAUGUCGGCUCAUCACAUCCUGGGGCUGAAGUAGGUCCCAAGGGUAUGGCUGUUCGCCAUUUAAAGUGGUACGCGAGCUGGGUUUAGAACGUCGUGAGACAGUUCGGUCCCUAUCUGCCGUGGGCGCUGGAGAAUUGAGGGGGGCUGCUCCUAGUACGAGAGGACCGGAGUGGACGCAUCACUGGUGUUCGGGUUGUCAUGCCAAUGGCACUGCCCGGUAGCUAAAUGCGGAAGAGAUAAGUGCUGAAAGCAUCUAAGCACGAAACUUGCCCCGAGAUGAGUUCUCCCUGAGACUUUAAGUCUCCUGAAGGAACGUU
rnacentral:rRNA from 1 species